rnacentral:rRNA from 1 species
AUUGAACGCUGGCGGCAGGCCUAACACAUGCAAGUCGAGCGGAUGAAGGGAGCUUGCUCCCUGAUUUAGCGGCGGACGGGUGAGUAAUGCCUAGGAAUCUGCCUGGUAGUGGGGGAUAACGUCCGGAAACGGCGCUAAUACCGCAUACGUCCUACGGGAGAAAGCAGGGGACCUUCGGGCCUUGCGCUAUCAGAUGAGCCUAGGUCGGAUUAGCUUGUUGGUGAGGUUAAAGGCUCACCAAGGCGACGAUCCGUAACUGGUCUGAGAGGAUGAUCAGUCACACUGGAACUGAGACACGGUCCAGACUCCUACGGGAGGCAGCAGUGGGGAAUAUUGGACAAUGGCGAAAGCCUGAUCCAGCCAUGCCGCGUGUGUGAA